CCUGUAGAGGCAUUGCAGGUGAGAUUGCUGUGUCACAUGUGUGUCAGUAGGUGACAGACAGGAAAGAGGCUUCAUCUCUAAGGUCAAUGUUCUGACCUAGAAACAUUUGAAUAAUUACUAUCCUAGUAUU